UACCAGCACCCCGAGUGGUCGGGACGUUUAUUGGGCCUAAAGCAUCCGUAGCCGGCCUUACAAGUCCUCCGUUAAAUCCAGCUGCUUAACAGAUGGGCUGCGGAGGAUACUAUAAGACUAGGAGGCAGGAGAGGCAAGCGGUACUCAGUGGGUAGGGGUAAAAUCCGUUGAUCCAUUGAAGACCACCAGUGGCGAAGGCGGCUUGCCAGAAUGCGCUCGACGGUGAGGGAUGAAAGCUGGGGGAGCAACCGG
rnacentral:rRNA from 1 species